rnacentral:tRNA from 1 species
GGGCGGUUAGCUCAGUUAGUUAGAGCGCUUAAUUCACACUCAAGAGGUCGAAAAAUCGAGUCUGUCACUGCCCACCA